rnacentral:misc_RNA from 1 species
GAUCAUUUUGUCCCCUUUUAAGAAUUUUAUGCAGAGGAAAGAUAACCUUUUGUGAUUGCAGGUUUUGACAGGCUGUGCUGGGGUGCACUUGGUGGCGGCAAAUUGGCUAGGACUCUCUGCACCAGUUCAUUCUGGUGGAUUGGCGGUUUUUCAACAAGGCCAUGGGUUUAGCACAAACUGAAGCAGUUCUUGUAUGCUGGCAAAAUGGCUGGUUUCAUCCCUCAAAAUGACAGAUUUAUUGUGCAUUAACUUGCCCAGUAAGUGGAAAAAGUUGGUACUUGGU